CUACGGGAGGCUCCAGUGGGGAAUCUUAGACAAUGGGGGAAACCCUGAUCUAGCCAUGCCGCGUGAUCGAUGAAGGCCUUAGGGUUGUAAAGAUCUUUCAGGUGGGAAGAUAAUGACUGUACCACCAGAAGAAGCCCCGGCUAACUCCGUGCCAGCAGCCGCGGUAAUACGGAGGGGGCUAGCGUUAUUCGGAAUUACUGGGCGUAAAGCGCACGUAGGCGGACCAGAAAGUCAGAGGUGAAAGCCCGGGGCUCAACCCCGGAACUGCCUUUGAAACUCCUGGUCUUGAGGUCGAGAGAGGUGAGUGGAAUUCCGAGUGUAGAGGUGAUAUUCGUAGAUAUUCGGAGGAACACCAGUGGCGAAGGCGGCUCACUGGCUCGAUACUGACGCUGAGGUGCGAAAGCGUGGGGAGCAAACAGGAUUAGAUACCCUUGUAGUC
rnacentral:rRNA from 1 species